ensembl:lncRNA
GUGUGUGUUUUGUUUAAAAGCAUCAGGAAUAACUCAAAGUACUCAGUGAAUACAUUUUCGCUUUAUCACUCAUCAUUUUAAAGCAUUUAGCAUGUGAACACUAAGAGCUUAUUUCACUCCUCACAGGUGAACUCCCGGUCAGUGUCCUCCACUUUCUUUUGGGGUUGAACCUCCACUCGCCCAUCCUCAACUCCAAUCACCUCUGCCACCGGCACUGAAACUUAAGAACCAUAUCCACACUGUUUAUUGACCUAUGCUAAUUCAUCUUUUGGCAAAAAAAAAACUGAGUGGGUGGAUCAACACACAGGUGUGUAAGUGUGUUCAUCUGAAAGUUAUCUCUUUCAAGAUCAUUAAAAACUAUUUUUAUUCAUUCGUUAUCUUUCUGUCAAAAUCAAAAACGAUGCAGCUGGAUUUUUAUGCAAAAUCAUGAACAAUACAACAUAAUAGGAAUUAAAGUUUCAAUUACAUUAAUGUUGCAUCUACAGCUGUAGCCCUUAGCCUAUUGUUUUUGAAGCGACGGUAUGUGGCUUCCAAGUCUGCUUACAACCCAUUUAACACGCAGUAAACAAUCAUGUGAAAAGUGACAUCGUUGUCUUAGAUAUGAACGCCUUACCGGUUUUCUUCUCUCUGUUCUUCUUGUCAAGUUCAGUCCAGCUGAAGUACCAGCCACUGAGAGUUGCCCGGUAUCGCUGAUUUCCGAUCCAUAGGCUUGAUUCUACUCUUAAUGUAUUUAUUUCCAUUGCGAGGAUAAAUAAUAAUAAGUUCGUUAGUUAGGCCUACCUAACAAGUGUGUUACCUAUCAGCGUCUACAUCGUUGACUUUGUUCCAGCCCGUCGCAUUCUUUUCGGCACCAAAACAUAUAUCCCGAAAAGUUUGCCUAAAUGUAUUGGUACAUCGAUAUAAGGCAGCGCUACUCUGAGCCAACCUACACUCGUGCCCUUUAAUUGAGGUAGUUAAACCACAAUCCAAGUAGGCUACACAAGAUAACUUACUGUACUUCCUGCUGUCGGGUAUUCAUGGGAUAAGAUACAGUAUACACUGUCGAUAAGAUCAUGGAUGCUGUUAUAACAGCAUUGUCGGUCUUCCUAACAGCUCUACCUUCUUAGUCUAUUCCCUAUCACUGUCAACGUGUUCUGCUUCGUUACAUACUUCUUUGUUAGUG